GCAAGUCGAACGGACUCGUAUUGAAACCUAGUGAUAUAUGAGUUAGUGGCGGACGGGUGAGUAACGCGUGGGUAACCUGCCUUACACAGGGGGAUAACACUUAGAAAUAGGUGCUAAAACCGCAUAAGCGCACAGCUUUGCAUGAAGCAGUGUGAAAAACUCCGGUGGUGUAAGAUGGACCCGCGUCUGAUUAGCUUGUUGGCGGGGUAACGGCCCACCAAGGCGACGAUCAGUAGCCGGCCUGAGAGGGCGGAC
rnacentral:rRNA from 1 species